CUCCCAAAGGAAUAGUGUUUAACUCGCUGACAAGAAGGGUUUAAGGCCGGGGACGGGGUGUACGUGCGUGUGCACGUGCGUGUGUGUGGUGCGGGUGGGGGCGGGGAGGGUAAAUUGUUUAGUGUUUCUGUGCUGACUCCACAUAUGAUCCCCAUUAGCUAACAGGGCGUUUGCUAACACAGACACACACACGGUAAGGGGUGAUUUUAAUCCGGUGUUAACCAUAAUGGAUCCAAUCGAGCUGUUGGACAGUAACCGUAGCUACCGCGGACAUCCCAGACACCAAUACUGGCCUGCUCUCCUCCAUUGGGUUCUAUUCUGAUGAUGAACACGGGUGAUAAUGGCAGUGGUCCCACGUCACCUUCUGAGAUAACAUGGGACGCUUUCCUGACAGACGACUUGUUUGACAGAGAGUGGCAUGUUAGAAGGUAAACAACGUUGUCAUUGAGAAUUCGCCUUCCAGGUCAGGGGUCUGGCCGAAGCACAGCCUGGGCAUGUGUUCUGCUUCACGGCACAGCACAAGUUUCUCGUUGCUUGUGUGACUCUAAAAUUGUAUUUACAUAUUAUGUUAAUGUUAUUUAAAUUAAAUUGUUGUCAUGACAAUUGAUGUAGUCGAAAUAGGUUGGCCCUUCAUUGUAUUGUUUUAAUUCACACACACACACACACACACACACACACACACACACACAUACAAAUGUAAAUCCAACUGCACAAAACUUAAAUACAAAUUUAAAACUCCUAGCUGGGAAGUGUCACUGUCCUUUUGUACUAAAAUUAUGCUAUAUAACUUAUUUCUAUAAUUUCAGACAGUAGUUUUCAAAGUUAACAAGCCAAAACAGGUCCCUGAAAAUUGCUUACUGUGUCAUCCAUUUGGUAUGAUAUGUUAUGUCCUGCAGAACUCACACAAUAUGUUACGAAUUUGC